CUGUAGAGCAGAGGUCAGCUCGUCGGGCUCAUAACCCGAAGGUCGCAGGUUCGAAUCCUGCCAGCGCC
rnacentral:tRNA from 1 species